rnacentral:rRNA from 1 species
CACGUAGGGACCAAGCGUUGUCCGGAUUCAUUGGGCGUAAAGAGCUCGUAGGCGGUUCAGCAAGUCGGCUGUGAAAUUCCGAGGCUCAACCUCGGAACUGCAGUCGAUACUGCUGUGACUCGAGUCCGGUAGAGGAGAAUGGAAUUCCCGGUGUAGCGGUGAAAUGCGCAGAUAUCGGGAGGAACACCAGUAGCGAAGGCGGUUCUCUGGGCCGGUACUGACGCUGAGGAGCGAAAGCGUGGGGAGCAAACAGG